rnacentral:rRNA from 1 species
UGGCUCAGAACGAACGCUGGCGGCGUGCUUAACACAUGCAAGUCGAACGAGAACGGAGACUUCGGUCUCCCAGUAAAGUGGCGAACGGGUGAGUAACACGUGGAUAACCUACCUCUUGGUGGGGGAUAACCACUCGAAAGGGUGGCUAAUACCGCAUAAGUUCGCAGAGGGCAGCCUCUGCGCGGAAAGCCGGUUUACGGCGCCGAGAGAUGGGUCCGCGGACCAUUAGCUAGUUGGUGGGGUAAAGGCCUACCAAGGCUUCGAUGGUUAGCUGGUCUGAGAGGAUGAUCAGCCACACUGGAACUGCGACACGGUCCAGACUCCUACGGGAGGCAGCAGUGGGGAAUUUUGCGCAAUGGGCGAAAGCCUGACGCAGCAACGCCGCGUGUGUGAUGAAGGCCUUCGGGUUGUAAAGCACUGUUCGAGGGGAAGAAUAAGCGGGGGUAAUGCCUCGCCCUGACGGUACCUUCGAAGCAAGCACUGGCUAACUCCGUGCCAGCAGCCGCGGUAAUACGGAGAGUGCAAGCGUUGUUCGGAAUUAUUGGGCGUAAAGGGCGUCUAGGUGGCGGAUCAAGUCAGGUGUGAAAUCCCUCGGCUCAGCCGAGGACGUGCAUUUGAAACUGGUCCACUUGAGUACUGGAGGGGUUAGCGGAAUUCCCGGUGUAG